AUGGCCUCUCUCCAACAUAGAUGGUCAAUCAUCCAAGACAACGUGAACAAGUUUGUCUGCCACUAUGCUUUCGUGCUUGGUCGGAAUCAAAGUGGGAUCGGAAUCGCAAGUCAGAUGGUGUUGACGGCCACUUUGUACCAACAACCCGAGAAGAAGCCAUUUGAUCCUACCUAUUGUUGGAUGAAAUUGAAGGGCAAACCGAAGUGGCAAAAUCUUGUGGAUGACCUCAAGAACGACAAGAGGUUGAAGAAAAAUGAUGGCCAAGCUCCCAACAAUUCAUUGGAUUGGAUGACAAAGAGGAAGAAGUUGUAG
rnacentral:rRNA from 1 species